ensembl:lncRNA
GUGAAGGAGACUCCACUAUCUGCUGCGAGGUUGAGGCACCGGUGUUGCUGGGUGCCCAUUUCUAUCAGUAGGUCUUGUGGAGUGUGUGUUUUUGCACGAGGGUGCUGGUUAAAGGUCGUUUUCUCUCCAGGAAGCUCGACAGGCUAUCAGGACAGCCCCAGGAGCAACCCCAGCAGCAGCACCAGCAGCCAGUGAAAGAUUGUUGAAUCACGCGAAUACACCGGGAUUCUUGGCCCCUGGAGGAGAAGAAUUCAAUCCGGGGACAGAGACGAGGCUUGCUCGCUUGGAGCUUUUGUGACUUGCUGCACAAAGCCCCGAAGAAGAAGGCCAUCAAGUCCUCCAUCAGCCGCUUGUUUUGCAAGAAGGAAAAGGGCCAGCCUGAACACCCCGGCAAGGAGGCGUUAGGACCAGGCAGGAUCUUUACCCCUAGUGCCACCUGGAAAGCCCCAGUGAACGCUGACAACUAGAAAUGCAGAAAAUAAGGGCUGCUCCUAAGUUAAACUGGAAGAGCAGCAAGCACAGGUUGUAAAGAGGAAAACACAUGAUGAGCAACAACAGUGCCAACAGAAAAAAGCAGGGAUGCAUUCACCCACAUAAAGAAAAUAUCUGUGCCAUUCGGAAGAGGAGCUUGUCAGCCCUUGGAGGGACAGUUGGAACAGAAUGAAAACCGAGGCCAUGGUCAGCAGUGCCCACCCACAUGGCCCGAAUGGCUCACCAGGCUUCUUGCCUCCCCAGAGCUGCUGGCGGUAACAUCUCUGAGUGCUAGGCAGGGCAGCAUCCCCGAGUGAGCUAAGGCAUCACUGCUCUCCUUCCAGUGCUGCUCCGGGGCCCUCUGUGGACGGCCACCCUCAUCCCCUGCCCUGCCACCCGCUGGACCCCAGCUUUCCCCCUGAGAUCCUUUCAGCCCUUGAGCUUGGGUGUUCCCAGCCCUCUGCCACGCCGGACUGGGACGCAACUCAGGACUUGGGCUUGAGAUAUCAAGGAGACCUUGAAUCUGGAAGGACACCGCCCUGGGGCCUGUGAGAGAGCAGGAGAGCAAAGCCCCCAUGGGGAGGAAGCAGAGCUGGGGAAUGUGCCCACAGCCUCCUUGCGUCCU